rnacentral:rRNA from 1 species
GUGCCAGCAGCCGCGGUAAGACAGAGGGGGCAAGCGUUGUCCGGAUUUACUGGGCGUACAGCGCGCGCAGGCGGUGCCGUAUGUGACCGGUGACAGUCUCGGGCUCAACUCGAGGGGGUCUGGUUACACAGCGGCGCUGGAGGCAGGGAGAGGGAUGUGGAAUACCCGGUGGAGCGGUGAAAUGCGUAGAGAUCGGGUGGAACACCAGUGGCGAAGGCGGCAUCCUGGCCCUGACCUGACGCUGAGGCGCGAGAGCGUGGGGAGCAAACGGGAUUAGAAACCCUGGUAGUCC